GCCAGGCGUGGUGGCGUGCGCCUGUAAUCCCAGCUACUCAGGAGGCUGAGGCAGAAGAAUCGCUUGAACCUGGGAGGCGGAGGUUGCAGUGAGCCAAUAUCGCACCACUGCACUCCAGCCCAGGUGACAGAGUGAGACUCUGUCUCAA
rnacentral:SRP_RNA from 1 species